rnacentral:rRNA from 1 species
GACGUAGGGCGCGAGCGUUGUCCGGAUUUAUUGGGCGUAAAGAGCUCGUAGGCGGCUUGUUGCGUCGUCCGUGAAAACCCGUGGCUUAACUGCGGGCUUGCGGUCGAUACGGGCGGGCUGGAGUUCGGUAGGGGAGACUGGAAUUCCUGGUGUAGCGGUGAAAUGCGCAGAUAUCAGGAGGAACACCGGUGGCGAAGGCGGGUCUCUGGGCCGACAUUGACGCUGAGGCGCGAAAGCGUGGGGAGCAAACAGG